rnacentral:lncRNA from 1 species
AGAGCAAUGGUGGUAAUUGAAACAAAUUGUUUACCUUUAUUUAGAAUAAUUACUAAUUAUAUAACAUGAGAUAUUAUGAUGUUGAGAUGGAUUGCUUAUAUCAAGUCAUUAAAUUUAGAAUUUAGGCAUAUUGUGGAGAAAGACAAUCCAAUAACAAAUAUGUUAUCUUGAGCAAUAUAUGAUAAAGAAGAUGAGAUGAUUGAGAAUAUUGAUGAUGUGGGUAGAAAAUUUUAUUUGGUUUUUUUUAAUUGAAUAAAGAAGAUAAGCUAUUUUAUGAAAAAAAUUAUGAAGAAGAGUUAUUGAAUAUUGAACAUUAUUUGAGUAUAUUAAUCAAGCGUAGUAAUUGGUUGGUUGAAAAAUUUAAAAAAAUCAAGAAAAAAAUAUGUAGAUUUGUAUUACAAGAAGAAUUUAUGUAGAAGAGGCCAAAAUCAAAUAUUAGAAUGCCACAACAUGUAGUAGGUACCAAAAAAGAUCAACAAAGACUACUCAAGGAGUUUCAUAAUAGUCUAUGAGGGAAUCAUAGAGGAAUUUAGAAUACUUUUGCUACAUUAAAAGAAUAAUAUUGGUAGAAGAAUAUGUAUUGAAAUGUAGCUUUAUUUAUAGAAUCUUAUGUUACUUAUGAGAUAUAUUCAAAUAUAUGAUAUUGAGAUGGUUAUAUCUAAUAUAUCUUUUAUCUAUUUAUUUUAAAUGAAUUGUAGAUUUGGUUAUUAUAUCAAUGGGAUUAUAGAAAAUGAGAUAUUUAGUUUUGGCUCAUGAAGAUUUAUCAAACUAAGUAAAAGAUAGGGCACUAAGAAUAAAGUCUACAAAAGAAAUUUGCAAAUUUUUACUUGGAGAUGUUAUUUGUCGCUAUGGAUGUAUGGCAAAGGUCAUUGCAAAUCGUGGAGAAUUAGAUGCAUAUGAAGCUUAUGGUUUUUUUAAGAGAUAUGGAAUUAAAUUAUCAUUAAUUACUACUUAUAAUCCAAAGAAAAAUACAAAGAGUGAACGUGGACAUCCACCAAUUGUAAAAGCCUUAAUUAAAGCUUGCAAUAGAAGAGUGAGAGAAUGGCCUUGACUUUUGUCUAAUGAAUUAUGGACUAAUUGAACAAUACAUAGUUCAGUGACAUGAUAUAUAUUGGUGGAACUUAUGACACGUCAUAAAUCAAUUAUGCCAAUUAAAAAAUAUGUGUCAACUUGGGGUAUGCUACUAUAGAAAGAUGAGUUGACAAGGGAUGAAUUAUUGGCUAUUAGAAUUCGGCAACUUAAACAAAGAUCAAAAGAUAUGGAACUAUCAUUAAAAAGAUUGAAAAAGACAAAGUUAGGAAAUAAGAUUCAAUUUAAUAAGUAACAUCGAUUGAGGCCUAGAGUAAUUGAAGAAGAUAAUUGAGUACUCUUUUAUGACAACAAUCUAAAUAAAUAACAUAGGUUUUUGUAAAAGUUUUCAAAAUAUUGAUUUAGACUAUAUGUGGUAGUAAAAAUUCAUAAUAAUACCACAUAUUCAUCAAGGGAGUUGGAUGGUAUGUGUCAUGGACAUACUCAUGUAAGCUAGUAUUUACAUAUAUAAAUAGGUAGAAGUAAGUAAAAAUAGAUAAAAAUAAUUUAAUUCUAUAGUAUUUGGUAUGAAAGCUUUCUAGAAGCUUUAUAGAUACUACUUUGACUUUAUAGGUGUCUUUAAUUGACUUUUUGGAUUAAAAACAUCGUCAACAAGUUGGCCAUGUACCACACAUGUUGUUAGCUUGAAGACCAAGCUAACAAUGUGGCCCAUAUGUAAAAAAACUUGCCUUGUAAGUUAAGGCAUGUGUCCUACAAAGUCAACACAUAUUGAAGAUCCUAUAGAACAUCGUUGCAUAGUCCCAAGUUAGAUAGUAUAUAUAAAGAUAAGAGUAAAGUCUUCUUCACUCUUGUCAACUCUUUUCUUGCUUCCAAUCUAGUUUCAAGAGUUUUCAUAUUUUUUAGUCUUUGGCAAUAGCCAUUCCAAUUUUUCUUUCAAUAUACAUACUUGUUUAUUUAUAUUUUGUUACCUUUCUUUGAGUGAAGGCUCACUUGUCUAAAUUACUUUUUCAUCGAGUUCUUAUCCUUGACAAAUUGAUAAGAGUACACUUACAAUAUAAGAGCUUUGUCCUUUCUUGAUUAAGAGUGGAUUAGCCCUUUUUCUUGAUAAAUCAUAAGCGUAUUAAGAGUUGUGGAUUACCCUCUUUUAAACUGAUAUUAUUUUUAGUAUUUUCUUUGUUCUCAAAUCUGUUCUCUUAUUUGUCUUGAGCAAUAUUAGACAUUUUUUUUUCUAGGUGUUAUCAUGGCAGAGCUUGUCGAAUUGAAGAGUGUAAUAAUACAAAUGUAAGAACAAGUGAGGCAAUUAAUACUUGUGAUGCAUCAACUUAAUUCACCAAUAGAAGGAGGAACAAAUAUAUAGAAAUUGGAGAUGUAGAGAUGGUCAGAGCUGCCUCAUAAUCUAUAUCAAAUUAUGCCCCUUCUCCCAUGGUGGAAUACCAUUCAAAUACUAGAGAAUCAAGAAUUACCUUAUUUGAGAAAUUUGAUGGUACGAGAUCAUAGUUUCAAGCAUUCAUUAAUCAAGUACAAUUGACAAUCAAACUUCAACUCCAAAGCUAUCUAACUCUAGGAUCACAAGUCAGGUUUAUUGGAACACUACUUUUCAAUUCUGCAUUAUCAUGGUUUUCAUCUUUUCUUGAAUGAUAAGAUCCAAUAUUGGAUAAUUUAGAAGCUUUCUUGAUGGAAUUUUGAUCUAUAUAUGAAGAACAUGAUACAGUUUGUAUUGCAACAAAUAAGAUCCAUAUCUUGUGAUAAGAAAAUCGAUUUGUAACAACAUAUGCUUUAUAAUUUCCACAACUUGCGAUUGAUACCAAGUGGGAUGAUGCUACACUCAUUAACCAAUUCUUUUAUGAACUAUAAUAUGAGGUAAAAAAAUUGAUGCUUAAUUUAUCCGAUCCUCAAACAUUGAGUCAAGCAAUUGAUUUUGCUGUAAAAUAAGACAAUCGACUUUUUGAAUUUCGAUCUGAGAGUCAUAUAAGUAGCCCUCAAUAUUAUUACAAUUCAAUGGCAACACCUACGUCUUCUCAAUACAUAUCUUCAGAACUAAAAGAUAUGCAAAUCAAUGCAAUAUGUUUCAAACUUCUUACUGAACAAGAAAAGACUUGUCCUUGUCAAAAAAGAUUAUGUUAAUAUUGUGGAGAACCAAAAUAUACUGCUCAACAUUAUCCAAAGAAAUGAUGCAACUAAUAAAUAAGGAGUAUGGUUGUCAAAGAAGACAAUAUGUCAAAAAACGAAUUUAUCCAACUACAAUAGAAACCAUGCGGUUGGAACCCUACACAACAUCUAGUAAAGGUCCUAUUCUCUCCUCAGAACCUUCUCCUUGUUUUAUAUUAAAUAUUAUUUUAGGACCUAAAUAUUACAAAGCCUGUACCUUGUUAGAUUCAAGAGCCUUAGCCUAUUUCUUAGAUGAAAAAUUCACUAAAAGACAUAGCAUAUCUUAAGUAAAGAAAACUAAACCUGUUUAUGUAGAAAUCAUAGAUGGUCGUCCAUUGUCUUCUAGAGAUAUUAUUCACAAAACCCUUCCUAUAGAAGUAAUAAUCAACGAUCAUAAUAGCUUUGUAGUAUUUAAUAUCAUUAGAUCUCCAUCUAAUCCAAUCAUUUUAGGUUUAUCGUGAUUAAAAAAAUACAACCCUCAAAUAGAUUGGAUUUUUUGAACUCUUACUUUCUCUAAAAGUAUAACUAACACUGUAGUUAAUCAAGUAGUAAAUCUCAUGAUUUCUCUAAAUUUGAGUUCAAGAACAACCUACUCUAUUUUGAAGGAUGCCUAUAUGUUCCAAAAGGAGAAGCACAUUUACGUGUUCUUCAAGCUUGUCACGACUUCCCAAUAGCAGGACAUUUUGGAUACAAUAAGACUUUGGAGCUGAUAUCUAGGGAUUUUUGGUGGCCUCAAAUAUAGAAAGUAGUCAAAGAUUUUGUACAAUCAUGUGAUGUUUGUUCAAGAUCAAAAACUCCUUGUCAUCGAUCUUUUGAACUUCUUCAGCCAUUAUCCAUUCUAGAACAACCAUAAUCUUCUGUUUCUAUGGACUUCAUCAUGGAUCUUCCAAUCUCAGGUUCUUAUGAUUCUAUAUUCGUGAUAGUAGAUCGUUUUACCAAGAUGGCACAUUUUAUACCAUGUACAAAAUCUAUCACAAGUGAAAAAACAGCUAAGUUCUUUCUUGACAAUAUCUAUCACUAUCAUAGAUUAUCCAAAGAUAUUAUAUCAGAUAGAGGAACUCAAUUUAUAUCAAGAUUUUGGCAGAUUCUUUUCAAGAUUUUAAAAGUGGAUAUAAAACUAUCUUUGAUAUUCCAUCCUCAAACUGAUGGACAAACAGAGCAUGUUAAUUAAGUUUUGGAGCAGUAUUUAAGAUGUACCAUUAACUACCAACAAGAUAAUUGGACAACUCUUUUACCAUUGGCAGAGUUUGCUUACAAUAAUACGAUACAUUUUUCUACAAAACAAAUAUCUUUCUUUACUAAUUAUGGUUAUCAUCCACGACUUGAUACUUUUGACUUUUCAAAAGUUGAUAAUCUUGCUGCUAAAGAUUUGACAAUUCAUUUAUCAGAGCUACAUGCAAUGAUGAAGGCAUAGUUAAAAGAAGCUCAAGAACAAGAAAAAGGUCAAUGCGGAUGUCUAUUAAAAGGAACAACCACCAUUCCAAUUGGGUGAUAAGGUAUGGCUACUUUGUUGCAAUAUUAAGACCAUUCAACCUUGUGACAAGUUGGACUAUCGAAGGCUUGGACCAUUUUCUAUUUCUGUAUAAAUCAAUCCAGCUACAUAGUAUUUACAUCUAUUGAAGUUAGUGAAAAUCCAUCCAGUAUUUUACAUAUCUCUUCGUAAACCAGACAAGACAGUGGACAUACCAAGAAGAUGACAAGCUCUACCUCCUCCUUUAGUAGUAGAUAAUAAUGAAGAAUUUGAAAUAAAAGAAGUCUUAGAUUCAAGGUGGCGUCAAAAUAAAUUAGAAUAUCUUGUCCAUUGGUGUGGAUAUGAUAUUAGUAAAUACACAUGAGAGCCUGUAAAGAAUCUUGUAAAUACAACAAAGGUGAUGGAGGCUUUUCAUCGACGAAAUCUAUCAAAAUCAAGAUAAAAACCUUCUUUAUAAAAGAAACAACAUCUAAGCAAGAUAACAUUCUACUUUCAAUCCUUGUUUGUAACUUCUUUAUAUUUGUAACGCUUAGGAGAUGAAGAUCUUCAAGAACGACAUGUUCUUCCUCGAAUAGAUGGUGAGAUACAAUGCGUUUGGUAUCACGACUUGGGAAGGGACUCCCAAUGUUUGGUGAUUUUAUUAGAGGUAGAAACAACUCCUGAUGGUGUUCCAAAUGUUCUAUUGAAAGAAAGUUAUGAAGGUGUUAGGGACAUAGUCCUUAGAACCUUCUAGAGACAAGUUUCUAGAACCUUCUAGAAGCAAGUCUCUGAAACCUUCUAGAAGCUUCUUAGUUGGUGGAAGUUGCUUGAAAAGCUUCCUAGUUAGUGGAAGUUGCUUAAGAAGCUUCCUAGUUGGUAGAAGUCGCUUGAGAAGCUUCCUAGUUAGUAGAAGUAGCUUGAGAAGCUUCCUAAAUAGGAGUAUAUAUUGGAAUCGAGGCUAAAGAGUUCUUCAAUCUCGACAACACAUCUCUUGGAGCUUUAGGUCACCUCUCUAGUAUUGUUCUUGUAUUCAUCUAAUUAAUCUAGUUCUUGCCAAUUCUUCUUGAACUUCUUCUUAGAUCUUGAACCUGUAUUUCUGUGUCCGUGACAAUUUGUCAAGACUGAACUCACCUCAGAUAUCAGAGCUAGUUUCUUCCUCGUUAGAGUGUGGAUUAUCCCUCUGCUUGAAGGUGUACUAGCAUUUUAGAGGUUGCGGAUUACCCUUGUCUAAAUUGAUAUUUCUUUUCUUACAAUAUUGGAGUCUUAUUCUUCUUAGAGAGAGUGGAUUACUCCUUUUCUUGAAGCUCUUAAGGCAUUUUAGAGGUUGCGGAAUACCCUCCUCUAAACCAAUAUUGUCUUCUUGUAGAGUCAUUUCUGUCCUUCUCUUAGAAUGGCCGGAGACCAAGAUAUUAGUAUGACGGAAAGUUUGGAGUCCAAGUUAGAUGCUAUCAUGAAUGUUCUCGCAACGUUAUCACAAAGAACUGCAGAGAUUGAAGGAGUCGUGGCAAGGCUUCAUAAUGAUGGAGCAUCUGGGAUGGCACAAUCUAGGUUAUAUCAGCCUCAAACUUCUGCACUUGGAGAAGCAAUUUUGCCUCAAGUUCGACAAGCACCGCUGGUUCUAUAACAUAAGGAGCCCCGAGUUAACCUUCCAAACAAGUUUGAUGGUACGUGUUCCAAGUUUCAAGGAUUCGUCAAUCAAAUCAGGUUGAUAACAGUUUUACAGUCCGAACGCUAUCCAACGGAAGAAUCUCGUGUUGGACUUGUUGGAACCUUACUUAUAGGGCAAGCUCUAUCAUGGUUUGCUCCUUUGUUUGAGAAAUGAUCAUCCAUACUAAACAACUUUGAAACCUUUUUCGAGGCGUUUGCGGAAGCAUUUGGUAAACACGACAAGGUUCGAUGGGCUACAACAAAGAUCCGAUCAUUACGACAAGGAAUAUGCUCUACAUCAGUCUAUGCAUCGGAUUUCAUGCAACUAGCAUGUGACAUCAAUUAUGAUGAAGAAGCAUUGAUGAGUCAAUUCUAUUGGGGUUUAAGAGACGAUGUGAAGGAUUUGCUGUUAACUCUUCCUGAUCCGCGAAUGCUCAACAAAGCUAUUAGCCAAGCUAUGAAGUGUGAUAAUUGCCUAUUCCAACGUCACCAAGAUCAACGCUCAAGACAACAUAUAGUUUGCCAAGCUCCAACUAUGUCAACAAGCAGCAUGAAUUCACAUUCAGAGGUAGAAGACAUGCAAAUUGAUGCGGUACGUGUCAAAUUCCUUACUCUAGAAGAAAAAAAGUGGUGUAUGGAAGAAGGUCUAUGCUUAUAUUGCGGUGAAGAAGACCACAAAGUUGGAAAUUGCCCCAAGAAGCAAAAUUGACGUAUUGUCAAGACCAGGGGCGUAUUUGUUCAAGAAAACAAGGAUGCCCAGUGAAAUAUCUCAACAGCAAGUAUACCGGAGCAAUAUAAAGAUUUUAAAGACGUGUUUCAAAAGAAGAAUGCCGACAUGCUACUAAAACACUGACCAUAUGACUGCACCAUAGACUUGCAAGAAAGAGCACAACUACCUUUUGGCCCAAUUUACAAUCUAUCGCAGAGGGAGUUGGCGGAGUUGCAGAAGUAGAUCGACGAGAAUCUAACCAAGAACUUCAUCUGUUAUUCAAAAUCGUCAAUUGGGGCACCCAUCUUAUCUGUGAAGAAGAAAGAUGGCUCAUUACGGAUGUGCAUGGACUAUCGAGGCCUCAACAAGAUAACAAAGAAGAAUCGUUACCCAUUACCCUUAAUUUCCGGUCUCUUAGAACAACUUGGACGUACAAGGAUCUUUACAAAAAUUGAUCUAAGGGGAGCUUACAACCUCGUACGAAUCAAGGAAGGAGAUGAGUGAAAGACAGCAUUCCGUACAAGGUAUGGCCAUUUUGAGUAUAAUGUCAUGCCCUUUGGUCUUACCAAUGCUCCAACAGUCUUCUAACAUAUGAUGAAUGAAAUUUUUCGAGAGCACCUUGACGAUUUUGUUGUCAUCUACUUGGAUGAUAUUCUGAUAUUCUCCAAAAAUGAAGAAGAGCAUGAAAAGUACGUUCGUUUGGUCUUGGAGAAACUAUGCAAGCGAGGACUAUAUGCCAAGUUGGAAAAGUGUUAUUUCACCAAAUGGAGAUAGAGUUUUUGGGGUUCAUUGCGACUACGGAAGGCUUGAAGAUGGACCCUAAGAAGGUGGAAGCAAUCGUGUCCUGGGAGAUUUCGAAGACGGUUAGAGACAUAUAAUACUUUCUUGGUAUUGCUAACUUCUAUCGGAUCUUCAUCAAGAAUUACUCUGAAGUUGCUGCUCCUCUUACUCGAUUGACAUGCAAGGAUAAGCUAGAAUAGGAACUUCUAGCAGAGAAGGUAUUUCAAGACCUGAAGACGGCAUUUACUACGAUUCCAAUCUUGGUACAUCCAGACUUUACAAAGGCAUUCUAUUUAGAAACUGAUGCUCCGGAUUUUACUUUGGGAGCUGUACUUUCACAAUUGGGAGAAGACAAGAAGCUCCAUCCAGUUGCAUUCUAUUCUCAAAAGUUCUCUACUGCUGAAAUCAAUUAUGAGAUCCACGAUAAGAAACUCCUUGCUAUAAAGGAUUCUUUCCAAGAAUGGUGUUACUUUCUUGAAGGAGCUGCACAUCCAGUGAUCGUAUACUCAGAUCACAAGAAUUUGGAGUAUUUCAUGUCGACUCGAGUUCUAAAUCGACGUCAAGCUCGGUGGAGUAUGUUGCUGUCUAGGUUUGAUUUUGUUAUCACUUAUCAAUGUGGAAAGCAGCAAGAACUAUCCGAUACCUUAUCGAGGAGAUCGUAUCUUGUACCAAAGGCUGGAAAAGCAGCGUUUGAUCAAUAAUGUACAACAUUAUUGAAGCUAGAGCAAUUUUGGCUUUGCGCUACUAUUGUGCCAAUUGAUGUUGACUUCCUGAACCAGAUACGUGCCGUGACCAUUGAAGAUCCAGUAGCCAUUGAUAUCAAGCAGUAUGCCAAUGACGACAAGUUCAAGGUGGAGAGAGAUCUUUUAUACUGUGAGGAGCGGUUGUAUAUUCCAAAAGGACCAGCACGACUCCGAGUUCUUCAAUCUCGCCACGAUUUUCCAGAUGCGGGAUAUUUUGGAUUCAACAAGUCCUUGGAGCUUAUUUCUCGAGAUUUUUGGUGGCCACAAAUGUGAAAGGAUGUGAAAGAUUUUUUCCUCUCCUACGACAUUUGUUCAAGAUCCAAGAAUCCUCGACAUCACCCUUAUGGACUUCUACAGCCAUUGCCGAUUCCACAUCGACCAUGGUCUUUAGUUUCCAUGGACUUCAUCAUGGACCUGCCAUCAUCAAACUCAUUUGACAGCAUUUUUGUCGUGGUAGAUCGGCUUACAAAGAUGGCGCACUUUGUCCCUUGCAAGAAGACAUCGUCCAGUGAAGUCACAGCAAGGUUCUUCCUCGAUAAUGUAUAUCGAUAUCAUGGACUACCAAAUGAUAUCGUAUCAGAUCGAGGAACCCAAUUCGUAUCAAAGUUUUGGAGAUCUCUUUUUCAAAUACUGAAGGCGGAUAUUAAGCUUUCUUCGGCUUUUUAUCCUCAAACUGUCGGCCAAACGGAACGGGUGAACCAAGUCUUGGAACAAUACUUACGAUGCAGCAUCAACUAUCAGUAAGACGAUUGGAUUGCAUAUCUACCGCUAGCCGAGUUUGCAUAUAACAAUACCCUCCAUGUGUCGACUCAAUACACACCAUUCUUUUCUAACUAUGGAUAUCAUCCGAAGCUUGAUUUAUUGAGUCCGUCAACAAAUAACAAUCCAGCAGCUGAAGGAUUUGUGAAGCAACUAUCAGAGCUUCAAACUACAUUGAAGCUUCAAUUACAAUCCGCUCAAGAAUCCUACAAGGCGUCUGUAGAUAGAUUUUAGAAUUAAGCACCUACUUUCAAAAUUGGAGAUAAAACAUGGCUUCUUCGACGGAAUAUCAAGACCAAGCGACCAUGUGAUAAGUUGGACUAUCGAAGAUUGGGACCAUUUAUCAUCCAGAAGCAAAUCAAUCCGGUGGUGUACCAUCUGGAAUUAUCGGCUUCUAUAAAGGUACAUCCAGUCUUUCAUGUUUCUCUGUUGGAGCCUUAUCGAGAGUCGUCCUUUCCUGAAAGAGUGCAAUGUCUUCCACCUAGUAUUGAGAUCAAGAACCAUGAGGAAUACGAGGUCAAAAAGGUGUUGGAUUCAUGGUAAAGGUGGAGCAAGUUGGAGUAUCUGGUUCAUUGGUGCGGCCACAACAUUAAUGAACGAACGUGAGAACUAGCUGAAAAUCUUGCCAAUGCGCCGCAAAAGGUACAGGAGUUUCAUCAACAACAUCUUCAUAAAUCUAAGUCGGUUCAACGAUAGCUUCCUUCUGAAGCUUGCUCACCCAAGAAUAUAAGAAAGGGGGAGAGCACCACUAAAACUCGUAGUUGAUAAAGUAGAAUUUUUUCAAUAGCCUUCUGAUAUGGAUAGCCAAGAGAUAGAUACUAUGCCAGUCAGAUUAUCUCAACCGACUAGCUCACGAAGGUGACCCCGAGAUGAAGAACCGCCUAUACCAUGAUGACGACGGAGGAUACCGAGUAACCGAUCACUAGUGAUUGUAUUUGAGUUCGAGCCUGCUUACGAUGGUCAGCCAGAAGGCGUGUUUGCAGGACAAUUUCACAAUGAGGACACAGAAGUUCAUGCUUGGUCAAAAGUCGAAGGCAUGGGCCACUACCGUUGGCUUCAAGGGCUGAUGAAUCACUUGUCUCGUAAACAAGAGUUGGAGUUCAUAGCAGACGUUAUGCGACAGAUCUUCAUUUUCUUGUAUUGGUACUGAUUAACAAUAAUAUUGCUUCUUAGAGACCUCGAAGCUAAAGGAGGGGGUGAUAUUAGGGACAUAGUCCUUAGAACCUUCUAGAGACAAGUUACUAGAACCUUCUAGAAGCAAGUCUCUGGAACCUUCUAAAAGCUUCCUAAUUGGUGGAAGUUGCUUGAGAAGCUUCUUAAUUGAUGGAAGUUGCUUAAGAAGCUUCCUAGUUGGUGGAAGUCACUUGAGAAGCUUCUUAGUUGAUAGAAGUUGCUUGAGAAGCUUUCUAAAUAGGAGUAUAUAUUGGAAUCGAGGCUAAAGAGUUCUUCAGUCUCGACAACACAUCUCUUGGAGCUCUAGCUCACCUCUCUGGUGUUGUUCUUGUAUUCAUCUGAUUAAUCUAGUUUUUGCCUGUUCUUCUUGAACUUCUUGUUAGAUCUCAAACCUGUAUUUCUGUGUCCGUGACAGAAGGCCUCAAUAAUGAACAAAUAAUUGAGUGAUCUUUCCACCCUGGUAUAGGACAUUACCGAUGGUUGAGAGGCCCUAUCAAUCAUCUUCGAAGAGAACAAAGAUCAGAGUAUGUAGCGAAUACAAUUUGUCACAUCAUAGAUUUCUUCAACAUAUGAUGACCACUCCUCGUGGAACUUGUCCCUAGAAGGGGGGGUAAUGUCACGAACAUACUCAUGUAAGCCAGUAAUUAUAUAUAUAAAUAUGUAGAAGUAAGUAAAAGUAGAUAAAAAUAAGUUAAUUCUAUAGUAUUUAAAAUUUGGCAUAGUAUUAGAAGGCUUAAAGAUCAAGCUAUAUACAAAUUUUAAGUUGAAGUUAAUGGUUGGAGAAGGAAAAAUCACUACUAGAAUAUUUGCAUUAACUUUCAAGUUAGCAGCCAAGUAACAUCACUGUGGUUUUUGGACGUUUUCUCAUGAUUUUCAAGUUAGAUUGGAGUGAAUUCUUUUGAAUACAUAGAAGACUUAAAAUGGUAUUUUUGUGCAAAAUUUUGUUCUAAGUAGAUAUUUAGAUUAAGAACUACAGCUCACUAAAGCUUAGUAAUUAGAAUUUGGAUUUGUAAAGAAAAAUCAAAAUUAUCUAAUUAUAAAAGUAAUAAAGUAAUUGGAGAUUAUAUAUGGUUGAGAUUACUAUAAAGAGUGUUUUUGAGAACUUUUUAUUGGAUUUAAGCACUUUGAAUUAAAAUUAAAAUUACAUUCUUCUUAUAAGGGUGAAACAUAUUAAGAUUUUUAGAUACUUGUAAAAUACAACCUCACCUUCUACAACCAAAUACCUGAUGUAUUUUUAAACAAAACAAUACCUAAUAUAACAAUGGAUUGUAGAUGAAACAUCUAAUGGUUUGAAUGAUAUGCUUUAGAUUACAAAAAUUCAAAUUAAUGAAGUUUUGAAUGUACAUGCUUAGAUUAUAAUAUCACUAAUUAAUAUAUCUAAGUUUAUAAUAUCAAAAAAUAAAAAGACUUAUGGACUAGAUGAGCAACCAUGUAAAAAGAAGGCUAUAACAUGCAUUGGUUUUAAUAUUGUUUCUAUAGAAAUUUUUACUAAACCUACAAAACCAUCAAUUAAUGAUGAUAUGUCCAUGCAAAUUAUAUCUUCACUUCAUGCAAUAGGAAAUCUUCAUAUUGGAAGGAAUAAAAUGAAGUUGAAUACAAAAUUAUCUAUUAUAUAUAUAUAUAUAUAUAUAUAUAUAUAUAUAUAUAUAUAUUGUGCUACAAAUGACAUUUGGGAUAGACCAUCUAUUACAAUAAUUGAAUCAUUUGCAUCUAUGAUUGCAAAAAAUCUUUCUUAUGAAGAAAAAGAUCCUUAACUUUAAACUAUCAAAGAAGCAAUAUAUCACUCUUACUUAUUAAAAUAGAAAAAUUCCAUCGAGGAGGAGUAUACUUCUUUACAUAAGAAAAAAGUCUUUGGUUCAAUUGUAGACACUCUUACAUAUAGCCAUGUAGAAUAUAAGAUGGUAUUAAUAUACAAGCGCGAUGUCAAAGAUCAAACAACUCACUAUAAAGCUUGUCUUAUUGCCUAAAGGUUUAUUCAACAAGUUAAGCAUUUUACAAAUGGUAGCAUUUUUUUCUACCAACUAAUGUAUAUAAGAAAUUUUUUGUAGAGAUUCAAGAUGAUUGAUGCUUGUCAAUCAUCAAUAUCAACAGUUGGACAUGAUUGUGAUGGUCAUAAUUCAUACUAUCCAUGCAAAGAAGAAUAAGAAAUAUUAGAAGAUUAAUAUCUAUACUUUGUAGCAAUUGGAGCACUUUUAUAUUUAGCAACAUCUAUAAGAUCAAAUAUUAUAUUUAUAGUUAGUAUUCUUGUAAGAUACAGUGUAUGUCCAACUCUAUGACAUUAGAAUAGCAUCAAAUAUUUAUUAUGUUAUUUAAAAGAUACUGAAAACUUGAAAAUAUAUUUCAUAUAAUUUAUAGAUCCAAAUUUGAUUAGAUAUUGUGAUAUGAGAUAUAAAUCUGAUAUUGCAAUAUCUAAAUCUCAAAUAGGCUAUGUAUUCUUAAGACAUAAAACUAUAAUAUUAUGGAAAUCAGUAAAACAAAAUAUAAUUGUAACUUUAUCCAAUCAUGUAAAAAUUAUUGCCUUACAUGAAGCAUCUCAAGAAUAUACUUACUUGUGAUCAAUCCAUAAACUCAUUCAAAAAACUUGUGGACUUUUAUAUGAUGAUUCUCCAACUAUGUUACAUAAAGACAAUAGUAUUUAUGUUACAUAGAUGCAAGUCGGUUUCACCAAAGGCAAUAGAACAAAGUAAAUUGGUCCAAAAUAUUUUAAUUAUACCCAUGACUUGCUUAUUGAUUAAGCACUUAUUAUAAAGAAAAUUGAAUCUAAAAAUAACCUUGUUGAUCUCUUUACCAAAGCUCUUCUUUUGUGCAACCAUCAUCAACUUAUUAAGACAUUGAUACAUGGCAACUUGCUUUUCAUGAGCAUUUCAUGCAUUUUGUUCAAUUUGUAAGUGCGAUUGAUUUCAUCUUUUUUAUGCUUGUUUAUAACUAAGAAAUUAAGAAGUAUGCAAAUUUUGAGUUGAUAUCAAUGGUUUGAUUAUUAAUUGUUGAUAUUCCAUUUGCUAUAGAAUAGUUAAUAAUUUAUUUAAGAUCUCAGAUUUGAUUAAGGUUUGAUUUUGGAUUUAAUCUAAGGUUUGUUUAGGAUUUCAACAAGAACUUAUCUAGGAUUUAUUAAGAAUUUAGAAUUUCAUAAAGGCUUAACUUAAGAUUUGUAUAAGGUUUAAUUAAGGUUUUCAUUAGGAUUUUAUUAGGAUUUGACCUAAGAUUUGGUUGACGUUCAAUUAGGAUUUUAAUUAAAGUUUGACCUAGGAUUUGACCUAAGAUUUGAUUAAGAUUCAAUUAGAAUUUCAAUUAAGAUCAUAUUACAGUUUUUAUUUUUAAUAAUUUAAAAGAUUUAUUUAUUUAUUUAUUUAAUAUAUAUAUAUAUUUAUUUUAUUUUAUUUUAUUUUAGUUUUUUGGAUUAAUCAAAGUUUGAUCAGGAUUAUUAAGCUCUACUUAAGAUUAUUUAAGAUUCUAUUAGACUUGGUAGGAUUGUUCUUGCAUUUCUACUAACCAUCCAUAGAUUGGUACUUCAUAUGUUCUCAAGCAAGAAUACAAGUAAUAAAACACUGAUAUUACGAACUUCUUAAUAUACCCUCGAGGACUAAAAGACACUAUAAGAAAAUAUAGCCAAGGGAUUGAAUAUAGUGAUGAGUUAAAGCAUACAAAGAUUCUUUAGAACUUGUAUUAGUAAUAUCAUGAAAAUAGAAAUCUUCAUCCAAGAGUAACUCAAAAUGUCUCUACUAUGCACAAAACCUCCUUUUCACAUCCAAAGGCCUCUGAUCCUCAACUUAAAAAAAUUGAAUGUAACUAAGGGUAUAAACUUUCACAAAUUCCAAAACAAUCUACUUACUAGAAGCAUCAACUAACUACUACACAUGCCUACUCAAAAUCCACAGUUUAAUAAGAAAUAUCAAUUACUAAUAAAAAACAGAUGCAAGAAAACUAUAUUUUGAAGUAAUUCAUCAAGAGCAUAAGCAAUAAAUAAAAAUAAAUAAAGAAAUAAAUACAUAAAUAAAUGAAAGGAUACUAUAAAUAUUACAAUGUAUUCAUGUCAGAUGUUGCAAGCACCAAUUGGAAAUAAAAAAAAUCACAUUUCACAUAUUCUAAUUUUUUAUCAAAUAUCUAAUAAUAAAAUAUAAUAUAAAAAAUUGAUAUUUAAUAUUAUUAUCAAAUAGAAUCCAUUCUUCAUACAAGAAUAUAAUGUAUACCACUUCUGCAAAAUUAUUCAUUAAUAAAUAUUCUAUUCACUAUUUGAACAAGAUAACAAUCAAAAUAAAAUUACUUACAAUAUAAAAAUAUAAAAUAACAAAAUGUAACCAAAGAUAUCAACUCUCACAAGCUCCAAAAUAGCCUACUCACUUGAACCAUCAAUCAAUUACUUCUAAUGCAUGCUCACACUUUAAAGUUUAAAUAACAACUAUAAAUCUUGAAUAAAGAGUAAAUGGGAGAAAACCUUGCCUUGAACUAAAACAUAAAGCAACAAAGGCAAUACACAAAAAAAAAUAUAAACAAAAACAAAAAGAUACCAUGACAACAACGGCAUACCUAUGUCAGAUGUUAUAAGCACCAAUUGGAAAUAAAAAAACAUCACAUUUCAUAUAUUCUAAAACUUUAAAAAAAUGUCUAAUAAUAAAUUAUAAUAUAAAAAUUUGGUAUUUAACUUUAUUUUUUUAUACAAUCCACUCUUCAUAGAGAAAUAUAAUGCAUGCCACCUCCACAUAAUCAUUCACUAAUAAAUGUUCUAUUCACUGUUUGAACAAAAUAACAAUCGGCAUACAUUUGCUUAUAAUAUAAUAAUGCAAUAGUAGUCUAUUAAAGUAUGUGAACUGUACAUGAGCCAUUGUAUUAUAUAUAAAUCAUAAACUGAAUACAAAACUCAGGCUGGAAAUGAACACACUCUCAUCGUAUUCUGCAACACUAUUUAUGAGGGAGGAUGAACGAGAGUCAGUCAUUCUGUUGUCCUGGAUUACUCCUCCACAUUCGUUCCUUCUCCCCCAAGCCCUGAGCCCUGUUUGGACUGGGACACUGCACGAUACACUCAGUGAUCCUCCAAAAUCAUUCCUGCAGCAUCAAUCAAGCUGCAAUCAUUCCUGAUACAAGCAUUAGACUCUUCUCCAAAGUAUCGAUGCGCUGCUGCAACCGGACGCGACGGCCGAUGAUUUUCGAGUCUUGCUGCAUGAGAGUCCCUAACUCUUCCGGGGACGAGAAUUCUUGCAUCAUCGUUAGCUCCUGAAGGCGAUUCACUAUCGUCCUCUACAGUGCGUAGCGAAUUUCCAAGGGUAUCUCGUCUGCGAGGCGUUCGUGCAUAAUUUUUGAAUACGCUGCAAUGCGGACCUUCAUUUUCCAUGCCUCUCGGUACCACCCUGUCGCAAUUACUGCUUCGUUAAGAAUCAGCCCCUCACGGAUAGGUCCAACAUCUUAUUCGAUAUAUGCUUGGUUUGAGCGCCGAGCUGUUUCCACAGCAGAAUUUACCUUCGCCAUAGUUUCCAAUUAGGAGGCAUUCGUUGUGAAGAUGACCGUUCUCUCUUUGGCCAACAUUCUCUCAACGAACUCCACAGUUGUCAUUUUGGUCUCAUUCAGGACUUGGAUUGCAAGCUUGUGGUGCUUGUCCCUCAAGUGAGGGUAGACUUCAAAUAUAAGACUUUGAACAUGUAGCACAACUUCGGCGGCAUAUUUGAACACUCGGUCCACGAGGAAUAUACACGUCUGGGUGAUGCUAUCGAUCUGUUUCUUCACCAACUGGUGCAAGACCGUGUGAGGCAGGAAGUCGGGAAGGGCCACUCCCUGAUGCUCCGAGAACAUCUGCCUAAUCUCGUCAGUUUUGGAUGGCUGGGACAGCCGCAGCCCAGAUUUGCCCAGGUCUUCAGCAAAUUUCGUGAAUUCCUCGUGCAAUCUUGCUGUGUAAUGAAGAGUACAAUCGUCGGGAACCAGACUGAAGUCUCCGUCCCGAACGACCUGAGUGAGCAUGUUUAGCAUUUCAUUUUGCAGUCGUAAGAAGACCGCGACGGCCUCAUUAACGCUGUCAAUGCUCCUCGGAACAUUGCUCAUCUCCUGACGCCGCUUCUAGAGCGCUUCGUGUAUUUGAUCGCGGAUGCGAGGUAAGCAUCCCCUCACCAUGUCCGAUUGUAUCUUGACGAGCCUUCGCGCAAGGGUGGGAAUGCCAACCAUGCUUCGGUCUAUGUUUCUGAGGUCCGGGUGGUCAUUAAAUAACUCUAACUCUCGACACCUUGCCACAGCUAUGCUGUCAUCGGCAGGUGUGCGGUUGCGCACGCAAACAUAACCGAGACCAAUGCCGACGGCAUCCGAGGUCACUUUCUUGAACAAUCCCUCCGGCGCUUUAUCUACCUUCGUGACAACCGCCAGCGUGCGCACGCCCUUUUUGUCCACAGUCUGAGAAAGCCGGAUGGACUCGCAGGUGGAAAAAUCAACCUCGGCUGGGAGGACGUUCAGGAUUAUGCUCUCCUCGGGUUUUAUGUAGCGCAUUAUCAUGUCACGAACCUCCUCGUAAAUAUUCUCCAGCUGACCAUGAACUAGUACAUGUGUAAUGCCUGGGAGAUCCACCAUGGGAAGGUCGGGUGCGUCCGGCUUUCGGAUGUGCAGGGAAAUCGGAGUGUUUCUGAUGUUUUUGUUGCUGCCGGCAAGGUCAUCCGUAGCGGCAUUGAUAGCUGCUUCGAUGUCGUCCUCUGAGUUGAUUCUCAUUUCUUUGACACUUCCGUACUCCAUUAGAAUUUUGGAAUUCUGUUCGGAGAGGCAAGACUGGAGUCGAAGGAUGAGAGGCACCCCAGUAGCAAUCCCCUGCCCUCGAGGCAGCGUGAUACCUGCGAGUGACUCGAGCACGCUGCUCUUCCCGCUGCUUUGAUCGCCGACGACCACGAUCGUUGGUAUGUUCACGUUCUCCUCCGUGAUACCUUGCGUUCGGAGUUUGUCCAACACAUCUAGUAUGGGUCGUAUUUCCGAGUGGAAUGAAUUACGAAGUGCCUCUGGAUCGUAACUUUCGAUCGGGUUCAAGUUGCUCCCGCUAGAGACCACCAACAUGUUGUUGAUCGAGUCAUUCAUCGUUAAUUCCGACUGUUCCGACAUGAUGAAUGUUCUACAUAUAUCGGACUUGGAAGGAAACUGGAUUAUUGCCCACUGGAUUAACAAAAGAGGAUCUCUGUAUGACAUUGUGAAGAACAAAGAACGUCGUUCCAAUACGAUCACACUUCGAAAUCGUGGAGGUAGGAUAAAAUCAGCGCACAGCACAGCAAACCUCCUUAAAAAACUUGCAUCGAAGGCCACACAAUGACCAUCCAAUUGUGAGGUGCACAGCUCACGUAAGCUGCCGUUUCUGCGGCCAGGUUUGGCAAUUCCAAAACGGAACUGGCAUCACAGGGCAGACAGGGCCACUUUCUGCAUUUUCUUAGCCAGUUGUGUGCCAAGGCUACCAGAGCUGGAGUAAUAUCCAAGUUAAUCUAGUUGACUACAGCUGCGACGGACACCGCACCAUCAGCAGGGAGAGGACACAAGUUGACCUGCCUGAAGACAUAUGACAUGGCUGAGACGAAUAGUUGUUUCUAUCCCCUCUGAUCAUCAGUGGAGCAUCUACUUGCUUGAGUUUCCGUGGCCCAGUAUUUGUCUAGAAAUUAUCCACCGCGGAAACAAAAGUCGAGAAAUACCCCACCAUUGGGGUCGACUAACCACUGGUACUGUGCUACAUGCACACAGAGAUGAAUCAGAAUGGGCGACAAUGUCUAUACUAGUCUCGGUAAGAAGGUGAACCUGAUGUCACAAGGCGGUUCUGCAAAGGAAAACCUCGAAAUCGCAACCUCGCUGACGGUCAGUGAACUAUCGUUGCAGGAGAUUUGUUCGCACAAGCCCCUCGCUGCUGAUUCUCCAAAGUCUACUGAUCAGUUCAACUCGGAUGCAGCUUUCCUUCCAGUCAGCUAUCGUCUCGGAGAGAACACGUCGCGAGAGAGAGUCCCAGAUGAUGAACAAGGAGGUUCAGCGCUAGUCAAAUACUACUGUGCAAAGGAAUAUCACUCGCUUCGGCCUGAGUGGUGUUCCGAAUUGAGAUUGUUUCCAACGGAUGACUUGGCGUGACAUGCUGCUGGCUAUAUAUAGUGGCUCCGAAUGUCCUACCGCAGUAGUGGUUCUUACCGAGACUAGUAUAGACACAGUUGGGCAUUUGUAACAGGGUGGCUAAGAACUAGAUCUGUUCGUUUCCAUCACAGCUCCAAUGGUGGGGUAUUUCUCGACUUUUGUUUCCGCGGUGGAUAAUUUCUAGACAAAUACUGGGCCACGGAAACUCAAGCAAGUAGAUGCUCCACUGAUGAUCAGAGGGGAUAGAAACAACUAUUCGUCUCAGCCAUGUCAUAUGUCUUCAGGCAGGUCAACUUGUGUCCUCUCCCUGCUGAUGGUGCGGUGUCCGUCGCAGCUGUAGUCAACUAGAUUAACUUGGAUAUUACUCCAGCUCUGGUAGCCUUGGCACACAACUGGCUAAGAAAAUGCAGAAAGUGGCCCUGUCUGCCCUGUGAUGCCAGUUCCGUUUUGGAAUUGCCAAACCUGGCCGCAGAAACGGCAGCUUACGUGAGCUGUGCACCUCACAAUUGGAUGGUCAUUGUGUGGCCUUCGAUGCAAGUUUUUUAAGGAGGUUUGCUGUGCUGUGCGCUGAUUUUAUCCUACCUCCACGAUUUCGAAGUGUGAUCGUAUUGGAACGACGUUCUUUGUUCUUCACAAUGUCAUACAGAGAUCCUCUUUUGUUAAUCCAGUGGGCAAUAAUCCAGUUUCCUUCCAAGUCCGAUAUAUGUAGAACAUUCAUCAUGUCGGAACAGUCGGAAUUAACGAUGAAUGACUCGAUCAACAACAUGUUGGUGGUCUCUAGCGGGAGCAACUUGAACCCGAUCGAAAGUUACGAUCCAGAGGCACUUCGUAAUUCAUUCCACUCGGAAAUACGACCCAUACUAGAUGUGUUGGACAAACUCCGAACGCAAGGUAUCACGGAGGAGAACGUGAACAUACCAACGAUCGUGGUCGUCGGCGAUCAAAGCAGCGGGAAGAGCAGCGUGCUCGAGUCACUCGCAGGUAUCACGCUGCCUCGAGGGCAGGGGAUUGCUACUGGGGUGCCUCUCAUCCUUCGACUCCAGUCUUGCCUCUCCGAACAGAAUUCCAAAAUUCUAAUGGAGUACGGAAGUGUCAAAGAAAUGAGAAUCAACUCAGAGGACGACAUCGAAGCAGCUAUCAAUGCCGCUACGGAUGACCUUGCCGGCAGCAACAAAAACAUCAGAAACACUCCGAUUUCCCUGCACAUCCGAAAGCCGGACGCACCCGACCUUCCCAUGGUGGAUCUCCCAGGCAUUACACAUGUACUAGUUCAUGGUCAGCUGGAGAAUAUUUACGAGGAGGUUCGUGACAUGAUAAUGCGCUACAUAAAACCCGAGGAGAGCAUAAUCCUGAACGUCCUCCCAGCCGAGGUUGAUUUUUCCACCUGCGAGUCCAUCCGGCUUUCUCAGACUGUGGACAAAAAGGGCGUGCGCACGCUGGCGGUUGUCACGAAGGUAGAUAAAGCGCCGGAGGGAUUGUUCAAGAAAGUGACCUCGGAUGCCGUCGGCAUUGGUCUCGGUUAUGUUUGCGUGCGCAACCGCACACCUGCCGAUGACAGCAUAGCUGUGGCAAGGUGUCGAGAGUUAGAGUUAUUUAAUGACCACCCGGACCUCAGAAACAUAGACCGAAGCAUGGUUGGCAUUCCCACCCUUGCGCGAAGGCUCGUCAAGAUACAAUCGGACAUGGUGAGGGGAUGCUUACCUCGCAUCCGCGAUCAAAUACACGAAGCGCUCUAGAAGCGGCGUCAGGAGAUGAGCAAUGUUCCGAGGAGCAUUGACAGCGUUAAUGAGGCCGUCGCGGUCUUCUUACGACUGCAAAAUGAAAUGCUAAACAUGCUCACUCAGGUCGUUCGGGACGGAGACUUCAGUCUGGUUCCCGACGAUUGUACUCUUCAUUACACAGCAAGAUUGCACGAGGAAUUCACGAAAUUUGCUGAAGACCUGGGCAAAUCUGGGCUGCGGCUGUCCCAGCCAUCCAAAACUGACGAGAUUAGGCAGAUGUUCUCGGAGCAUCAGGGAGUGGCCCUUCCCGACUUCCUGCCUCACACGGUCUUGCACCAGUUGGUGAAGAAACAGAUCGAUAGCAUCACCCAGACGUGUAUAUUCCUCGUGGACCGAGUGUUCAAAUAUGCCGCCGAAGUUGUGCUACAUGUUCAAAGUCUUAUAUUUGAAGUCUACCCUCACUUGAGGGACAAGCACCACAAGCUUGCAAUCCAAGUCCUGAAUGAGACCAAAAUGACAACUGUGGAGUUCGUUGAGAGAAUGUUGGCCAAAGAGAGAACGGUCAUCUUCACAACGAAUGCCUCCUAAUUGGAAACUAUGGCGAAGUUAAAUUCUGCUAUGGAAACAGCUCGGCGCUCAAACCAAGCAUAUAUCGAAUAAGAUGUUGGACCUAUCCGUGAGGGGCUGAUUCUUAACGAAGCAGUACCUGCGAUAGGGUGGUGCCUGUUGGUAACAAUAACAGUGACUUACCAAACAUAACAAACAACCUAAGUGAAACGUAGCAACUAGUCAAAUAGGCGAGACCUAAAUGGUCGCACCUCCCUCAUUAUAAUUAUAAUAGUGUACACUCAAUUUUAAUAUAGGUAAUAUAUUCUUUUUAUCAAAAACUUUCAAGUUCACUUGCUUCUAAUAUGAUAUGAGAGGGAAGCUCUGAAAAAGUUUUAUGAUAUAUAUUUAAAGAAAACACUGCAGACAGAAAAAGGAGGCUUUGUAGAAGACGUUCUAUAUAGAAAGUUGGAGCACCGACGAAUCCUCUUCUUGUCUUCAAACAUGACUGUAAGCAACAUUACCAUGGAUAAGUGGCCUAAGUUUGAUGGCUCGUGGUAUUCCAUCUGGAAGAAAAAGAUUGAAAUGAAGUUUGAAAUGGAGAACUUAUGGGAUGUAGUUUCAGGAAAAGAAACACAACCAACACUUCUUCAAUGAGUAAAUGCAACAUCAACUUCACCAUCAACUAAUCAAACUGAAAUCCUUACCUUGAAAAGGAAGGAUCAUGUUGCUUUAGCAGCAAUUUGGGAUUGCGUAGAAAAUCCAAUUUUCUCUCAUGUCAUAGCAUGCAAGACAACCAAUGAAGCAUGGCUGGCCCUUGAAAAUACAUACUCCGCAGGUGACAUCGUCACUCAAUCCCACCUACAAGAAAAAUUCAUCAUACCAAAGAUGAAAAUUGGAGAAUCGGUAACUCAACAUAUACACAACUUUAAAUGUCUGCUUCAACAAUGCACUUCUGUCGGAGUUAUCAUUUCUCCUCAAAUAGAAAUCUUCACUCUCAUGAGGUCCAUGCCAUCCCAGUAUGGCAUCGUGAUACAAAUGCUUCGCACAAUGGGGACUGUAACACUCCCCACGCUGAUUUCAAUCCUCUUGCAGGAAGAAACAGCCAUGAAAAGCUCUUCUUCUAACUCACAUGCCCUCUUUGUAGGACGCAAAGGAAAGACAAAAUGGCAACCUCACAAAUCCAAUCCUAAAGACCAUAAGCUUUUAAAACAGCACAACAAACCUACAACUCUUUACCCACAUUGUAAGAUAAUGGGGCAUUGGGAUUCCGAGUGUUUCAAACACAAAACAGGAGUUGCUGCAAAUUCAGCAACAACAAAUCAUGAUAACAAGAAAAAUAACCAAAUAUGGAAGCAAGAACAAGUAGAGGAAUUACCUCCCGCUUUCUAUGCCCAUGUUUACAUUACACAAGCUUUUUGCUUGGCGAAAUCACCUAAGCUUGGAACCACCAAAGACACACAAUGGCUCAUUGAUACGGGUGCCACCCACCACUUGGCACAUAAUAAACGACAAUUCAUUAAUUUCAAACCAUUUCUACAUGAUGACAACAAAGUAUACCUUGGCGAUGGCACAGCAUUACCCAUCCAUGGCCAAAGAGAAGUAGAAAUCUCAAUGGCAAAUGGCGAGAUUCUUCGUCUCUCUAAUACCUUAUAUGUACCAGAUUUACACAAAAAUCUAUUCUCAGUAUGUGACUAUAAUCUCGAAGGUGGUGGCAUCUUAAUAAAAAAUCAGAUGUGUGAUCUAUUAGUAAGAACACAAUACUCGCCUCCUAUCCUAUUCGAGAUAAUCUUUAUCUACUAGGAUCAACAAAAUUCCCAGCCCAAAAUGUGGUGGCACAUACCAUUACUUGGUCGGGAGAAUCACCAUCUAUUUUCGUGACCCCAAGUACCGAUCAGAGAGUUUUUAUCUCGCAACCUUCACUAACGACCCUUUCUAGUCCUGAUCACGUAUGCUGGUCACCACAGCUCUCUCCAACGCCGUCUUUCCCCUCUACGAACAACUCUGCCUAAUGGACAGUCAACGUGGAGUUAUCUUCCGCCUUCAACCCCCAUGCCUCUCAACUACCACUACCAGAGCCUCGGAAUCCUACUCAUCACCACGGAGCACAAUAGAUUCCUCUCCACCUCAGCACAACAAACUCGCAAGGACAUUAUGGCCUCCCGGAGAUCCCUCCAUGGCCGAACCGACUGUCUCUUACUGCUACUAUCUUUUCUACCGAUAUUAUGACACUACAACCUAUUACAGCCUCAUCGAUCGAAGCCACUCAAGCUAUCACCUCAGUUCCAAGCUCACAACAGUUCUUGUAGCAUCAAAGGCUUGGUCAUCCCAGUAGUGACCACCUCAAGCACUUCAUCACCAACUCAACUGUCACGAGAAUCCACCUCAAAACGAUCUCCAACCAAAUGUGCACAACAUGAUCUAUAGCAAACAUUCAACCAAAAAAUUUCUAAAACAAGCAACUACAAGAGCCACCCAACCUCUCGAAUUAAUCCACUCAAACUUAAGCGGCCGCAUCUCUACUCCAACAUUCUCUAACUACAGAUACUAUGUUACAUUCAUCGACGACUUUUCCAAAUAUAUUGUACUAAAACUAUUAUGAAAAAAGAACAAAUGUCUACAUGAAUUCAAAAUUUUUCACAUGGGCUGAGAAUCAAACAGGCUAUAAAAUCAAAACUCUCCACUCCAAUCAAGGAGGAGAGUACUUAUCUUCAAAAUUAUCUUCAAGUAGUACUCACUACCUGGAAGCACAUGGAAUUCAACUUCAAUUCACCGCUCACUACCUAGAAGCACAUAGAAUUCAACAUCAACUCAACAUAUCCUAUACACCAGGCCAAAAUGGUGUGGCUGAAUGCAAGAAUCGAACUCUCCUCUACACCACAAGGUGCAUGCUCCAUGAAGCUCAACUCUCUAGAUCGUAUUAGGGAGAAGCAGGGGGAGAAGCACGGGGAGAAGCAGUCACAUGUGCUCCGUAUAUACAAAAUCGACUUCCCACGAAGGCUAUUCCUUCUCACACCACUCCAUUCGAGAUGUGGCACAAGAAGAAGCCCGAUCUCACUCACAUUCGUGUAUUUGGAAGUCGAUGUUAUGGCAAAAUCCCUGAUCCGCUCCGUAUCAAGCUUGAUGGAAAAACGGAGGCUUGCAUAUUCCUUGGCUAUAGCCCAGUCAGCAAGGGAUACAAGGUUCAACUCCUCCGCACUGGCGCCACCGUCGUCUCUAGGGACGUCAUCCUUCAGGAGAAGCCUGCUCCUCCCCGCCAACCUGUUCAGGCCAGCCCCUCACCCGAUGCCAGACUCCAGGAAGACCCACAUUUCUUCCUUCCCAGCAGGUCGCAGCUCCCUGCCACUCCACCUGCACGUGUAUCCACGCGUGAGCCCCAGCACCCUCUUUCUGAUGCUCCGCAGGUGCCGUCAGACCAGCAUCAACGUCCUCCUUCACUAUCUGUCACGAAUCCUCUUGAUGAUCACCUCUCGUCUGCUGCUCCGGAACCAGAUGCUGCUGAUGGCCCCAGCCAUGGGUUGAGCAAUUUUCAUAUUUUGCUUCCCCUGGCUCCAGAUUCCGCCCGUGCUCAGUCCCGACUUGAACAAUCCUCCUCGCCCGAGGUACCACCACUCCUCCCGGCUAGACCGUCCCCGCGGCAUGACGUCCGGUCUCCCACCGGCUUAGCCCUCAUGCCUCAUUUAGGCCACCACAAACAAGCUCCCAGCACGGACCAUGUUGCUGACUCUCCCGUUGAGUCCCCGCAUAGAACCUCUCCUGUACCCGUUCGCAAGUCUUCUCGCACCAACAAAGGCGUACCCCCGCCGCGAGACCCUUCCGAAGAUUAUGAUCCAAGUUCUCUUCGGCCGCGGAAGACUCCUCCGCGACCCUCUCGACCGAAGCGCACUCUUCUAACCCUUGCCGCGGUUCCCAUGGAGCCAACGACCUACACGCAAGCCAUGACGUCUCCCGACAGUCACCAUUGGAAAUCUGCCAUAGCUGAAGAACUAAACUCCCAUGCGAUGAACGGCACGUGGAUAUUUUCGACUCUCCCUGCAGAUCGAAAACCCAUCACCUGUAAGUGGAUUUUCAAGCUCAAAUUAAACAGCCACGGCCAAAUUGACCGCUACAAGGCCCGUCUCGUAGCCCGGGGUUUUAACCAAAUUCCCGGGUUGGACUACCACGAGACGUUCUCCCCGGUGGUGAGAAUUCAGUCAAUACGACUGAUUCUCGCCCUUGCCGCCCAGCUGAACCUUCAUGUCCAUCAGAUAAACGUGAGGACAGCCUUCUUAAAUGGCGUUCUCUCCGAGGAAAUAUUCAUGCGGGUGCCGGAGGUGGGGACUUCCCCCCGCCCCGGCAAGGUCUGCCGCUUACUCAAGACCCUCUACAUGUCGAAACAGUCUCCCCGAGAAUGGUUUACGGUCAUAAACAAAUUUUUACUGACCCUCGGCUUCACAAAUUCUGCUGCGGAUGGGAAUGUCUAUGUGUUACAGAACCGCUCUGACUUCGCAGUCCUCACCCUCUACGUCGAUGACACUCUCAUCGCGGGGAACUCCCUCCCCUUUCUCCAUUCGAUCAAGCGACAACUCAACUCUCGCUUCUUACUCUCCGAUCUCGGCGAAGUACAUCACCUGCUCAGUUUACAGGUCACUCGAAAUCUUGAUCACGGAUGGUUCCGAAUCACACAAGCUCUGUACAUCACACAGAAGCUUGCGGAAUUCGGUUUCCUCGCCUCCAAACCUGUGUCGACCCCGCUGGCCCUUGGGACUCAUCUUUCAGCGGCCGACUGUCCGUCCUCCUCUGCCGAAACUGCCCUUAUUGCUGCCUUCCCCUAUGCGAAUGCUGUGGGGUCGCUGAAAUGGGCCAGCUUGUGCACUCGCCCGGAUCUCUCGUUCACGGUCAACGUUCUUGCUCAAUGUAUGCACAACCCGGGCGAUGCCCAUAUACGUGCAUGUAAACAUGUGUUUCGGUACCUCCGCGGCACUAUCGACCACUAUCUGGAGUACCGCCGCACUUCUACUGUGCCGCGCCCUCUCUACGGCUUCAGCGAUGCCGACUGGGCAGGCGAAGUGGAUCAACGCCACUCGACAUCCGGCUACGUUUUUCUUCUGUCAACAGGCGCCAUCAGUUGGAGCUCCACACGCCAAAAGACGACAGCCCUAUCCAGCACGGAGGCUGAGUAUGUCGCCAUGGCCACAGCCGCGUCCGAGCUUCUAUGGUUGCGGCAACUCCUCCACGACCUUCACUGCACCGACACCCUAAAGACGCCGACCCGUGUAUACUGCGACAACCAAUCAGCGUUAGCAUUAGUCACAACCACUCGUUUUCACUCCCGCACAAAGCACAUUUCUAUCCGCUACCAUUUCAUACGCCAACUUAUGGCUCAACACAAAGCCGAAUUUACCUACUGCCCAACAGACAAUAUGCAUGCGGACAUUUUCACGAAGUCCCUCACUGCACCGAAGCAUGCCCAGCAUUUACCCAUGCUUGGCCUGCUUGGAGGAGAAACCCCCCGUUCGUGAUGCUUUGGUUAAGCGGCCGUGUUGGAAACAAUAACAAUGACUAACCGAACAUAACGAACAAACUAAGUGAAACGUCGCAACUAGUCAAAUAGGCGAGACCUUGAACGGUCGCACCUCCCUCAAUAGAAUAAUAACAGUGUACACUCAAUUUUUAAUAUAGGUAUUAUAUUCUUUCUAUCAAAAACUCUCAAGUUCACUUGCUUCUAAUAUAAUAAUUGUGAAUUGAUUGAUGCUGCAGGAAUGAUUUUGGAGGAUCACUGAGUGUAUCGUGCAGUGUCCCAGUCCAAACAGGGCUCAAGGCUUAGGGGAGAAGGAACUAAUGUAGAGGAGUAAUCCAGGACAACAGAAUGACUGACUCUCGUUCAUCCUCCCUCAUAAAUAGUGUAGCCGAAUACGAUGAGAGUGUGUUCAUUUCCAGCCUGAGUUUUGUAUUCAGUUUAUGAUUUAUAUAUAAUACAAUUGCUCUAUACAGUUCACAUACUUUAAUAGACUACUAUUGCAUUAUUAUAUUGUAAGCAAACGUAUUCUGAUUGUUAUUUUGUUGAAACAGUGAAUAGUACAUCUAUUAGUGAAUGAUUAUGUGGAGGUGGCAUGCAUUACAUUCCUCUAUGAAGAGUGGAUUGUAUAAAACAAUAAAGUUAAAUACCAAAUUUUUAUAUUAUAAUUUAUUAUUAGACGUUAUUUUAAAGUUUUAGAAUAUAUGAAAUGUGAUGUUUUUUAUUUCCAAUUGGUGCUUAUAACAUUUGACAUAGGUAUGCUAUUGUUGUCAUGGUAUCU